rnacentral:rRNA from 1 species
AUAUAACUAGGCGGAGGAAAAGAAACUAACAAGGAUUCCCUCAGUAACGGCGAGUGAAGCGGGAAAAGCUCAGACUGAAAAUCUUCGGAGUUGUAGUCUGGAGAAGUCAGAUCAGCUUUAAGUCUCGGAUAAAGUCUCUUGGAACAGAGCGCCAUGGAGGGUGAUAGCCCCGUUCAUGUCUGAGACGAAAGGUGUACGAUCGGCUUUCUAAGAGUCGAGUUGUUUGGGAUUGCAGCUCUAAGUGGGUGGUAAAUUCCAUCUAAAGCUAAAUAUAAAUGGGAGACCGAUAGCGAACAAGUACCGUGAGGGAAAGAUGCAAAGAACUUUGAAAAGAGAGUUAAAUAGUACCUGAAAUUGCUGAAAUGGAACCGAUGGGAGGCAGUGUUGGCUUGUUGGUACUUGUACCCGUGAGCAAGUUAGGCUUCCUUAGUUGUGCGGGAAAGGCUUCUAGAGCUGUAUGUUCUGGUUUUGCUGUCGUGCGACUGAGGGACUCUGACGAAAUGCCUCUUAUCAU